rnacentral:rRNA from 1 species
AUUGAACGCUGGCGGAAUGCUUUACACACGCAAGUCGAACGGCAGCACGGACUUCGGUCUGGUGGCGAGUGGCGAACGGGUGAGUAAUGUAUCGGAACGUGCCCAGUCGUGGGGGAUAACGUAGUGAAAAUUACGCUAAUACCGCAUACGAUCUAUGGAUGAAAGCGGGGGAUCGCAAGACCUCGCGCGAUUGGAGCGGCCGAUAUCAGAUUAGGUAGUUGGUGGGGUAAAGGCCCACCAAGCCAACGAUCUGUAGCUGGUCUGAGAGGACGACCAGCCACACUGGAACUGAGACACGGUCCAGACUCCUACGGGAGGCAGCAGUGGUGAAUUUUGGACAAUGGGCGAAAGCCUGAUCCAGCCAUUCCGCGUGCAGGAUGAAGGCCCUCGGGUUGUAAACUGCUUUUGUACAGAACGAAAAGGUUUCUACUAAUACUAGGAGCUCAUGACGGUACUGUAAGAAUAAGCACCGGCUAACUACGUGCCAGCAGCCGCCGUAA